UACUGACCAGAUGAGCUGGGGACAAACUGACCUUCUGUGUUAGGGGAAGCCACCGGCUGGUUAGAGAACCAAAGUCAGAAGGGGGGGGGGGGGAACCAAAUUCAGA